CGUUCAGAAGCUUUCGGCUCGCGAGAAGCUCAUUUUUGACCACUGGCUCAUGAAAGCCAACGCGAAGUCUGCAACAGCUGCGCGAAAUCUGAAAGCUGAUUUUGGCUUCGACAGCACUUUGUUCACGGUUCUGUGUGAAAAGCUAGAAGCAGUUCCAGAAAGAGAGCGUCGAGGAGUGCUCAUGUUCGAUGAAAUGAGCGUCAGAAAAAGCGUCCACAUUCGCGAGUCGGACAUGGCACUGCUGGGCAAGGUGGAUUUCGCCGAACACACACGACCAGGUGACCAUGGCAAAGACGGCGACCACGUGCUGGUCUUUCUGUUUCGGCCUUUUCUGGGAGGGUGGUCACAAACUGUGGGCACAUUUUGUGCUUCUGGUGCUGCCCCAGGAUCAAUCGUGGCGAAGCUCCUUUUGCAGUGCAUUGUUCACCUUACAAACGCUGGUGUUGUUGUUGACGCAGUGACCUGCGACAACUCCACAUCAAACCAAUCAGCCUUGAGAUCUCUGGGUACGUCUUUUCAAAUUUUAUUUAGCUGUGGUUAGUGAUGUAGUAGAAAAACAAGUGUACUAUUAAACUGUUUUUCUCUCAAGGUGUCAACGGGGACAUGCACAAGCUUCAAACGUGUUUUGAACACCCGUGUGAGCCCUCAAAGCAAGUCCACGUUGUAAUUGAUCCACCGCACAUAUUUAAGUGCAUCAGAAACAACUUGCUCAAAGUGGGCAAGUUUUUGCUCCCUCAAGGACAGGAGGUGUUCCACUGUCACUACAAGGACUUACUGGACUAUGAAGA